CCGGCGCACGCGCACAGGUCUACUCCCCGCGAAAUGGAGCGGGUGUUGGCGGACGCGCUUCUAACGCAGAGUCGGGAGCCCGGCGAGUUGCUGGGCGCGCUGUGCGGCGGGGAGGCGAGUGCGGAGCGGGCGGAGACCCUGCGCCUGGUGCUGCAGCGGCUGGAGGAGCGCGGCGCGGGCGCCGGCGCGCUGGCCAAGGCGGCACACGAGGUGGCCAGGGACCACCUGGUGCCCUUACUGCACGCGUCCCAGGGCGGAGGGCCUGCGAGGCCCCGCGUGCUCCGAGCGGCGAGUGCGGCGCUGCGCUCGUGCGCGCGCCUGGCAGGACCGGAGCUGGCAGUCACUCUGGCCGAAGAAGCGCUGCGCGAGCUGCCGAGCGCGCCAGCCGUGGAGCUGCUGGCCGCCGUGGCGCCGUGUUUACGCGCGCCGGAGGAUGCCCCGCUGCUGCGUCGCCUGGGGCGCGCGUCUGUGGAGCUGGCGCUGGCCGGGGACGCGCCGCCGGCCGUGGGAGCGCGCCUGCUGCCCGCGCUGGCACAGAGCGCAGAACCGGCUCUGCGUGCGGCGUGGGACGCGCUGAGCUCCGCGGGACCGGGAGCUGAGGGCAGCACUGGGCCAGAACUGCUGGUGCUGAGCGCACUGGCCGAGAAGCUGCUGACCAACCAUGAGCGCCACGGGGAUCUCGACGCCCGUCUCUGCGGCCGCUUCUGGAGAACCGUCCAGGCGGGGCUGGGCCGCGCGCAGGACGGGCUCACGCGAAAGCGCGCGCGCUACCUGCUGCAGAGGGCUGUACAGGUGUCUGCAGAGCUGGCGGUGGACUGCUCCUGCAGCCCCCAGGACACAAAAGGUCCGAGCCUAUUCUGGUGGUCUGAGAAGAGAAAAGAUGAGCUCCUAAAGUUUUGGGAAAACUAUAUCUUGAUCAUGGAAAUUUUGGAAGGAAACCAGAUACAUGUCAUAAAGCCAGCCUUACCAAAGCUAAACAGGCUGUUUGAAUGCGCAGUGUCAGAGGAGAAUGGCUGCUGGCUCUUCCAUCCCUCCUGGCACACGUGCAUCUACAAAAGAAUGUUUGAAAGCGAGAAUAAAAUUCUGGCCAAAGAAGGCGUGAUCCACUUCUUGGAGCUGUAUGACGUGAAAUCGCUUCCUUAUUCCCCGGAACUCUCAGAGUUUAUUACUGGCCCGCUGAUGGAUGCCCUCUCAGAGAGCUGUCUGUACAGCAGGUCCCCAGGGCAGCCGUUGGGAAGUGACUCUCCCCUGGGAUUAAAGCUGCAGAAGUUUCUAGUCACUUAUACUUCCCUUCUUCCAGAAGAAACAAAGAGUUGUUUCCUGUUAAAGCUCAUUCAGAGAAUGGCGGACAGACACUGGUGUGCAGUGCCGGUUUUGUUCCUGUCCAGGGCUUUGGCAAGCAUACCCAGCUGUAAGGCCCUGGGUGGAGAAGGUCUUCUUGCCCUCAGGGAUGUUCUCCAGCGCACCAUGAUCACACACCAGGUCCUCCUGAGAGGAGCAGCUCAGUGCUACCUUCUUCAGACAGCCAUGCGUCUGGUGGACGUGGAGAAAGUAUCUCUUUCUGACAUCUCAGCUUUUCUCUUGUCUCUGAGACAAGAGGAGUCCCUCGGACGUGGGACGGUGCUGUGGACAGAGCUCUGUGACUGGCUACGUGUCAAUGAAAGAUACUUUAAGCAAUCCUCACUUGGUGGCUCUGAUGGACAGGAGGCGUCAUUAAAUGCUUACGUGAAGAACCUAGUUCAGGAGUUCGUGAAGUCUCCUGGUUGGGAAAAAGAAAGCAGCUUCAUGCCAGACUGGCUGGACGCCAGGCUGACAGCGCUGAUGGUCCUGCUGGCUGUGGACGUGGAAGGACUGAAGACCAAGUUCAGGGAAAAGCAGAGGACUCAGAACGUGUUGAGGAUCUUCCUAGACCCCUUGCUGGAUGCCCUAGGGAAGCUCGGCACCAAUGCCUACAUGCCCUUGCUGAGGACUGACCGGUGCCUCCAGCUGCUGGUGAGGUUGCUGCAUUCUUGUGUGCCAAGACGUCCCGGUGCCCAGGAUGAUGAGGUAUCCACUGCCCUCCAGGGCUCCAUCAUGUCUGCUUCAGAGAGCGUGUCUCAGUUUGUGCUCAGGAGACUCACCAUGAACGAGCUGCAGGAUGUGGCGGAUCUGGACCGAUGUCAGCUCUACCUGACGGUGUUGUCUGAGCUCAUGAGUCUCCAGGUUAAGCUGGGCUGGAAAGCAGGCAACCCCAUCAGCCGGGUCCUUUCUCCUUUGAAAAACGCAUGUGUUCGCCAUCUGCAGGAGGCUGAGGACAGACAGGAGCCGACCUUGAGUCAUCAGGUACAGAGAGUGGUCAGCAUGGCCGCCCUGGCAGCUCUGUGUGAGGCUGUGGACCAGUACCCAGUGCUGCAGCCUGACUCCCCCAAUGCUGAGCCUGUGGACAGGUUCCUGUCAGCUCUUCCACUCAAUCACGUGCUGCAGAAGCCCCGAUCAGAGGAGCAGAGCAUCGGUGUGUGUCCCCUGGAGAAUGGCAGUGUCUUUGAAGAAUCAUUGUCUUCCAAAGGAUGGGGGAAAGUAGUUGCACAGUAUCUACAUGAUCAGUGGGUCUGCCUCUCCUUCCUGCUGAGAAAGCACCACCACCUCAUUCCAAGCACGGAAAGUGACGUGCUGGAGGGCUUUCUCCCUACUGCUGAGACACCUGUGCAGGCCCUGCAGGCAGCGCUGGACGUCCUCACCGUCCUCCCUGCUGGCCGCAUCUUGCCUGUGUUCCGCUGCAUGGAGGUGCUAGUUCCCAAGCUCCUGACCUCCGAGGAGACCCUCUGCAUAGAGUCCUUUGACGUGGCUUGGAAAAUUAUAUCUUCCUUGAGCAACACACAGCUGACGUUCUGGCCUAAUUUAAAGGCUUUUGUUCACUUUGUUUUCGACCAUGAGAUUCUUACCAUUGCUGCAAAACUCAAGGGCCAGGUGUACUUCAAAAUAAAAGAGAUUAUGUGCAAGAUGAUUGAAAUGUCCUCCAUAAAAUCAGGUGUCUUCAAUAUUCUGAUACGUCACUGCUGCCAGUCAUGGCUAGUGGCUGCUUCCGGCGUGUCCCAGGGGUCAUUCUCCAGUGCUAAGGAUUACAGUGAACUUGUCCUGGAGGCUUGCGUGUUUGGAACAGUGUUUAGGCGCGAUCAGAGACUUAUUCAGGAUGUCCAAACCUUCAUAGAAAACCUUGGACAAGGCUGUGCAGCAAACGUCAUCAUUGAGAAUGCUAAGAGAGAAGAUUAUUACGUGAGAAUCUGUGCCAUCAAAUUCUUGUGUCUGCUAGAUGGCUCCGAUGUGUCCCACAAGUUGUUCUUAGAAGCUCUUGCCAUCAAGCUCUUGGAUAAGGAUGAGUCAGCAUCCAGGUCCAGAACUCGAUACCAUGAGAACUCCCUCCAGCACCGGGUGAAGAACCGUGUGUGGCAGACUCUGCUUGUCCUCUUCCCUGCAUUUGAUCAGAACUUCUUACAUGGAAUUAUUGAUAAGGUCUUUCACGCUGGCUUCACCAACAAUCAAGCGUCCAUAAAAUAUUUUAUUGAGUGGCUUAUUAUAUUGAUUCUUCAUAAAUUCCCUGAGUUUCUUCCAAAGUUCUGGGCGUGUUUUUCUUACGGUGAAGAAAAAAUUAAGGCAAGCAUUUGUACAUUUUUAUCUGUUUUAUCACAUUUGGACAUCAUUGUUCAGAAUAUUCCAGAAAAGAAGCUGGUUCUGAAGCAAGCUCUCACCGUUGCCCUCCAGUGGUGUCUGAGUCACAAUUUCAGUGUUCGGCUCUAUGCUCUGGUAGCCCUCAAGAAGGCCUGGCAUCUGUGUAAAACACUGCAGUUUGAGGAGUGUGGCGCCUGGACCGCAGUCAUCGAGUGCAGCCUCAGCCAAGCAGAAAGCAUGCACGGAGCAGGACCAUAUUUUACACGCUCCCACGGCUCUCGGGUGUCACUGGAGAGGAGUGGAUCGCCUUGGAUAAAUUUGCCAACUUCACAGACAUCCCUUCCAAUGCAGGGUCCCAGUGGUACCUGUCUGGGACUGCACUCGGUGAGCUGAGUCCAGGAGACUGGUCCCAGCAGGACCAAGGUUCUACUUUGGGUGAAGCAGACAGCCAGUCAGAAUGGGCUGAUGUCCAGAAAAAAAUCAUCCCAUGGGGACAAAGCGCUCUGGAAUCAGACCUGGAGCUCGAGUUUCAGGAUCGGGCUGCCAAGCUCGGAAAGUCCAUUAGCAGACUGAUCGUUGUGGCCUCACUCAUCGACAAGCCGACCAACCUGGGAGGGCUGUGCAGGACCUGUGAGGUGUUCGGGGCUGCAGUACUUGUUGUCGGCAGCCUUCAGUGUGUCAGCGAUAGACAGUUCCAGCACCUCAGUGUGUCUGCAGAGCAGUGGCUUCCUCUGGUGGAGGUGAGACCAUCCCAGCUGAUGAAUUAUCUGCAGCAGAAAAAGGCAGAAGGCUACACUGUCAUUGGCGUGGAGCAGACAGCGCAAAGCUCAGAUCUGGCCCAGUACCGCUUCCCUGAGAAGUCGCUGCUGCUGUUGGGAAACGAGCGGGAAGGAAUCCCAGCCAACCUGAUCCAGCAGCUGGAUGUGUGUGUGGAGAUUCCUCAGCAGGGCAUCAUCCGCUCACUAAAUGUGCAUGUGAGCGGGGCUCUGCUGAUUUGGGAGUACACCAGACAGCAGCUGCUCGGGUGUGCGGAGCCACCAUCCUGAAGGCUGGGCCUCACCUGCGAUCUCUCAUGGUGCUAUGGUGACUUAUAACCUUCUGGACUAACGAAAUAUUCUGAGAUGUCCUGGGAUUUUCUUCGUGUCUCUAACCUUGCACCUCAAUGCCAAAACCUUUUCAUGUGCCUUAAAGUAUAUAUCAUUAUAUAUAUUGUCCCCUUUUUAGCUAACCUUUUUAAAUAUUUUAAGCAUUUAUGGGAUUUUUAAAAAGGAAUUUUUAAGUUAUGGUCUUCCUAGAAACCGGUAUUGUCAGACUGGCAGAACUAAAGUUGUUAUUUAUGGGCACCUGUGCCCUUCUGUUUUGAGAGGCUGCCUCCUCUCCCUGCUGCUAUGCACCUGUGUAUUCCUGCUGAGAGAGGGAGCACAUGUGACAAGACGUGAGUCAGCGCCAAUGAUGUUCUUUAUCCUCAGGUCCUGAGCUUCAUUUCCAAAGCCAAGGAUUGAGCCCUGGUUGUUUGAGCUAGGGUUCAAUGAGAUUUUCUUUACAUGGUUGUGUCCUCACAUCAUCACCCCUGUGCCGCUGAGCCACUCCCGUGAAUCCCUACUGAAAGCAAGAACAAAAUCCAUCAAUGCUUUCUGUUCAGAUAAGUGCAUUAUUCAAUGGUAAUCAUUAUCAUUGUCCAGCAAGGAACUUGCUAACCCUGGAAUCCUUUGAGUAAUACUUAAAUAUCUCCCGAAGUUUUGAUCUGCAACAGUGUUUCAAACAUAGACCACCACAUCUCCACACCCCCACUUCCUCCAGAUGCCACUCCUGUGGUCUGACAUAACCUACAUUAUCAGUCUGGCUUCUUUCAGGUAGCCGAGUGCAUUCCCAGCUCAUCCAGGUCUUUGCUUGUGUUGUUGGUAUUCCAUCCAUCAAUGGGAUAGAGUACUCCUCCUGCCAUAGGCAUCUGGUUUUAAAUGACUUGAGUGAUGCUGCAGGCUUUGCUUUCAGUUCAUUUGCUGAGGUAGCUAGGAGUGGGGCUUGUGGGUUUAAAGGUCAGCAUGUUUGACUGAAAACCUCUGUAGAGGGCUUUCCUAGUUUACAGUAUCACCAAGAGUGUCUUGUUCUGCAUCCCUGUCAUCACUUGGUAUUGUCAGACUUUAAUCGAAGCCAUUCUAACUGGUAUCUAGUGACACAGCAGUAUGGCAUUAAUUUCCAUUAUUCUAAUAUUUAAUGAUAAGGAGGCUCCUUUUGCCCACUUUUUAAAUGGGAUCAGUUAUCUUAUCAAGAAUCAUGAGGUAUUUUUUUGUUUUUUAAUUCUGGAUUCAAGUUCUUAAAGAAAUAUGUGACUUGUGAGUAUUAUCUCCAUAUUUGUGAGCGCAUCCUUAGGCAUUUUCUUAAUCAUCUUUGAAUAGACCCAGUUUUCCCUUCCCAAUCUACAUAGUUAUUUCUUCUUUGUCUUACUGAAGUAGGUAGCAACCCAGGUAUUGUCUGAUCACUGAGGACAUUUGAACAAAUGUUAACCCAUUGAUUAGUUAACUUCAUCCAACUUCAUUGUGUAGUUUUUGUAUUAAAGUGCUAACUGCCAGAAGCACGCAGAAUAACCUAUCUUAGUUUUUAUUUAUUUUAUGUGCAACUAUAUUUGCCUAAUAUGCAGCUCUUAUUCCAAAGGGGGAAAGGAAAAUAAACAAUGUAUUUUUAUAAUAAACUUUUUAUAUAAUGA